CGAACAAACGCUGGCGGCGUGCCUAACACAUGCAAGUCGAACGAGAAAGUCGGUUUCGGCCGAUGAGUAAAGUGGCGCACGGGUGAGUAACGCGUGGAUAAUCUACCCUUUAGUCCGGAAUAACUUGCCGAAAGGUGAACUAAUACCGGAUGACAUCCCGGGUUCUCCGGAAACCGGGAUCAAAGAAGGCCUCUGCUUGCAAGCUUUUGCUGAAGGAUGAGUCCGCGUACCAUUAGCUUGUUGGUGGGGUAAUGGCCUACCAAGGCUGCGAUGGUUAGCUGGUCUGAGAGGAUGAUCAGCCACACUGGAACUGAGGCACGGUCCAGACUCCUACGGGAGGCAGCAGUGAGGAAUAUUGCGCAAUGGGGGCAACCCUGACGCAGCAACGCCGCGUGGGCGAAGAAGGCCUUCGGGUUGUAAAGCCCUGUCUGGAGGGACGAAGUAAUGACGGUACCUCCGGAGGAAGCCACGGCUAACUACGUG
rnacentral:rRNA from 1 species